rnacentral:rRNA from 1 species
GACGAACGCUGGCGGCGUGCCUAAUACAUGCAAGUUGAGCGCUGAAGGUUGGUACUUGUCCCAACUGGAUGAGCAGCGAACGGGUGAGUAACGCGUGGGGAAUCUGCCUUUGAGCGGGGGACAACAUUUGGAAACGAAUGCUAAUACCGCAUAAAAACUUUAAACACAAGUUUUAAGUUUGGAAGAUGCAAUUGCAUCACUCAAAGAUGAUCCCGCGUUGUAUUAGCUAGUUGGUGAGGUAAAGGCUCACCAAGGCGAUGAUACAUAGCCGACCCGAGAGGGUGAUCGGCCACAUUGGGACUGAGACACGGCCCAAACUCCUACGGGAGGCAGCAGUAGGGAAUCUUCGGCAAUGGACGAAAGUCUGACCGAGCAACGCCGCGUGAGUGAAGAAGGUUUUCGGAUCGUAAAACUCUGUUGGUAGAGAAGAACGUUGGUGAGAGUGGAAAGCUCAUCAAGUGACGGUAACUACCCAGAAGGGGACGGCUAACUACGUG